rnacentral:rRNA from 1 species
CACGUAGGCGGACUGGAAAGUUGGAGGUGAAAUCCCAGGGCUCAACCUUGGAACUGCCUUCAAAACCAUCAGUCUGGAGUUCGAGAGAGGUGAGUGGAAUUCCGAGUGUAGAGGUGAAAUUCGUAGAUAUUCGGAGGAACACCAGUGGCGAAGGCGGCUCACUGGCUCGAUACUGACGCUGAGGUGCGAAAGUGUGGGGAGCAAACA